UACGUAGAAGACUAGUGUUAUUCAUAUUUAAUAGGUUUAAAGGGUACCUAGACGGUAUAAUUAGUCUUAAAUAGGAUACGGUUAUACUAGAGUUAUAUAUGAGGAGGUGAGUAUUUAUGCAGUAGAGUUGAAAUUCGUUGAUAGUAUAAAGACUGGUAACGGCGAAAGCAACCUUUUAUCUAAUAACUGACGUUGAGGGACGAAGGCUC
rnacentral:rRNA from 1 species